GAUGAACGCUGGCGGCGUGCCUAAUACAUGCAAGUCGAGCGAACGGACGAGAAGCUUGCUUUUCUGAUGUUAGCGGCGGACGGGUGAGUAACACGUGGAUAACCUACCUAUAAGACUGGGAUAACUUCGGGAAACCGGAGCUAAUACCGGAUAAUAUUUUGAACCGCAUGGUUCAAAAGUGAAAGACGGUCUUGCUGUCACUUAUAGAUGGAUCCGCGCUGCAUUAGCUAGUUGGUAAGGUAACGGCUUACCAAGGCAACGAUGCAUAGCCGACCUGAGAGGGUGAUCGGCCACACUGGAACUGAGACACGGUCCAGACUCCUACGGGAGGAAGCAGUAGGGAAUCUUCCGCAAUGGGCGAAAGCCUGACGGAGCAACGCCGCGUGAGUGAUGAAGGUCUUCGGAUCGUAAAACUCUGUUAUUAGGGAAGAACAUAUGUGUAAGUAACUGUGCACAUCUUGACAGUACCUAAUCAGAAAGCCACGGCUAACUACAUG
rnacentral:rRNA from 1 species